rnacentral:rRNA from 1 species
UCGAGCGCAGGAAAUAAACAGAACCCUUCGGGGUAAUGUUUAUGGAAUGAGCGGCGGACGGGUGAGUAACACGUGGGCAACCUGCCUGUAAGAUCGGGAUAACUCGCGGAAACGUGAGCUAAUACCGGAUAACACUUUUCAUCUCAUGGUGAGAAGAUAAAAGACGGUUUCGGCUGUCACUUACAGAUGGGCCCGCGGCGCAUUAGCUAGUUGGUGAGGUAACGGCUCACCAAGGCGACGAUGCGUAGCCGACCUGAGAGGGUGAUCGGCCACACUGGGACUGAGACACGGCCCAGACUCCUACGGGAGGCAGCAGUAGGGAAUCUUCCGCAAUGGACGAAAGUCUGACGGAGCAACGCCGCGUGAGUGAUGAAGGUUUUCGGAUCGUAAAACUCUGUUGUUAGGGAAGAACAAGUUGGGUAGUAACUGACCCAACCUUGACGGUACCUAACCAGAAAGCCACGGCUAACUACGUGCCAGCAGCCGCGGUAAUACGUAGGUGGCAAGCGUUGUCCGGAAUUAUUGGGCGUAAAGCGCUCGCAGGCGGUCUUUUAAGUCUGAUGUGAAAGCCCACGGCUUAACCGUGGAGGGUCAUUGGAAACUGGAGGACUUGAGUACAGAAGAGGAGAGUGGAAUUCCACGUGUAGCGGUGAAAUGCGUAGAGAUGUGGAGGAACACCAGUGGCGAAGGCGACUCUCUGGUCUGUAACUGACGCUGAGGAGCGAAAGCGUGGGUAGCGAACAGGAUUAGAUACCCUGGUAGUCCACGCCGUAAACGAUGAGUGC